GGCUGAUCGAUUAAGGCGAGGAAAAAAGCUCCUCGGAGGGUGUGAUGGGUGGAAGUGCCAGGCCGUUUGGAGAAGUUAUCCCCUCUCCCCCUUGAAAGGCUACAGAGAAGCCUGUUCUUGUCCUGAAAUGUCGUCUGGGGGUGCAGCUAUUUAAUAAAGCAUUUUCACCUUCAGUAUUCCGGUGCCCCCCAAAAUAGGGCUUGUGCGUGUAGAAACAUUUAACCUGAACAGCGGGGGACAGAGAAUUAAUGGAUACGGAACAUUCCUGUCCCCAGCAACCUAAAAUGAACAAGGAUACCAGUGCAUGCAAAAUAGAUGUUUGUGCAGUUUUUGUCUCUUCAUGGAGUCUGAAGUGUGGCCUGAAGAAUGUCAUGCAGUUAAAUGGAACCUUUUCAGUAUCAGUCCCUGCUUUUCCCACUGAAGUUCAGCAGGCCUCUACCCUCCUAGCUUUCUGAAAAACACUGAAGACCUGGCUUUUCCCCCUGGAAUAGGGUGAGUGCCCAGAUGAAUAUUAUCCAAACAACUUUCAGCCUGAUCCAAACUGAACUUGGGAUGGAAAUAACAGUCCUUGCUUUAGUCGAUAUCCUUUGUGGUGACAUAAAAUGAGGUAGGUGUUUCUUCUGGUCUUAUUAGAGACUUCUCAGUAGCAUCUGACACCAUCGAUCAUGAUAUUCUUCAGGUCUGUCUAUGAGGGUGGGAGUUGGAGAGGUUAAUUGCACUGUUUCCUGAGUGUGCAUUUCAAGCUGAUGGUGCUGAGGAAUCAGAAGUUGAGUAUUCAGUGCUGGGUUGCUCCCAAAUUCUCUUUGCUUUUCACUAUCCAUAUAAAAUCAUUGGAUCUCAGUGAGGUGUGCUUCACAUCUCCACUAAAGUUGCUUUUGAAGUCUUGUUUGGGAGUUUGAAGGUCAUUGGGACCUGGAUGAAUGCAGGCUGCUGUUCACUCUAGGAAGAUGUAGUUACUAUUUGUGCUAUUUGUUCAGAAGAGUUUUCUAUUUCAGUUGUAGCUGAGGAUAGUGGGGGGAUAUCUCCUCAAGCAGAUCCAAAGUUUGGAUCCUCCAAGAUUCAUGGCUUCUGCCAAAGGAGCUUGUUGAGGCUGCUGCCAGGAAUCAGCUGGGGACCAGUUUCAGGUCUACCUAAAGUGGGAGGAUUUGACAAUGGUGAUUCAUGCCCUUAUCAUCAUAUGAUUGAACUACUACAAUAUGCACUUCAUGGGAUUGCCUUUGAAGACCACUUGGACAAAGUGCAAAAUGUCUGCAUGCAUGCUUGGAAAAUUUGCUUAUUAUGCUUGUACAGUUGAAAAAAAUAGCUCCAUCUAAUUACAUAGCACAUUUUUGUCACAACAAAGGGCUUGAUUAGUAGCUUACAAUUCUUUUUAAUCUCCAACUUCUUUCAUCUGUACAAAUGUUUUUUUGAGUAUCAAAUAAUUUAAUUCACAUUUGAUGCUUCUCUUAUUAGCUGCUUUAUAUAGACAGUCCUUCUGUUUUCAGAGAAGACAGGCUGUUGUGCAGUUCAUUUGCCAAAAUAAUUAUUCAAUUUAUUUUUGCUACUGAUCUUUACUGCUACUGGUACAACAUAAACAGACUGAUAUUUUUCUUUCUUGCAGAUGGGAUCCUGAAAUUUUUCCACUCUGUAGAUCCAAAACAUACACCUCAAAGGUUGUAAACAUUCAAGUGCUCUUUCAAUCUCCAGAAAUGUCUUUAGCAACCCCUGAUGAACCAUCUCCUAUUUUUCCACUUCUCUUCUGCAGAGCAGUCCCAGAGUUUGUUAACUCUUAGUAGUUUGCUAUAUCGUUUUCAAAGUCCAAUUUUUCUGUAGGAAUGAGCAGUUUCCUAGAGAAGGUUCUCAGCCUCUUUAGAAGUUACCAUUCUUUCCAGCAUUAGAUUAGUAUAGAGAUCACUGUAGCUAGCAAUAACAAAUGUAGAUAUUUUAUUAUUUUUUGCAAGCUGUCCACAAUCAUGAAAAUAUGUUGUGACAUACAAAUAUUUAUAAAUAAACUUUCCAUUAUUAUUGGGUUAUAUUUCCAUAUCUUUACAUUGAGAACCUAUCACCCAAUAUCCAGCAAAAGUUUACAAAGCUAAAGUUAUUCCUAUUUUAAUCAUGAUAAAUAUUUGUCCAAUUUUAUGGAAUAGUAUAAAGAAUUAUUGGGCCAAAUAUUCUAUUUUUUACUUUUCAGGCUUCACUAAGAGUCUAAUACACAACUUUGAUAUAGAACAAUUCUAGGAAAAUGCUUGCAUUGGUUCCAUUCCUCUUCCUUAUCCUAAUUAGUUAAAACCUUCAUUGCUAUUUCAAUUAUCAGAAUAAAAAGAUAGUAUAAAUGAUUCUAGUAUCUGUCAUGUACACAGCACUAAUUAGUUCCCAUAAUAGAACUUCUAUUUUAUCUGCGGUAAAUAUACAAACAAUUUACACCUAAUACACAUAAUUUGAUUGACUAACAGAAAUACGAGAACAGUCAAAGCAACAAGAAUAGUUCAAAUUACUGAGGGAAGACAAUAAUUUAGACAAAGGCAUAUUUAUUUUCCAUAAUAUGUUGAAACACAUUUUCCAUAGUGUGCAUUGCAUGGUUAUUGUUGUAAGUAAUGAAAAUUAAUUGCUAUUCCUUUUCUUCUUUGUGGAUUUUUAAUUAUUUUCCUUACUUUACCCACUUUGUAUGUAUUGGUAUAAAAAGAAAAAUAUUAUAACAGAUAUAGAAACUAUAGUGCAUUUUAUUCAUAAUUCUUAGCUUCCAAAUACCUUCCAGUUUAACAUAAAUGUACUCAACACAAACAGAAAAUACAACUAUAAAAUUAAAUAGAAUUAGAAAGAUGCUUUCAAAAAUAUAAAAAAAACCCUGAGGUAUGUUUUUAGUUUCAGGCUGUUUCACAUAUACAUGUAUAGCAGCACCAAACUGAAUGAGAUAUGUGCAUCUAUUGAAAAGUAUAGUUUUAAAUGAUAUGAAUAUUCAGUUUAGUGCUCUUUUAUGAUUAUUUCAGAACAAAAAUUACUCAAGUUUUAUUUCUGUUUGUUGGCAAGGUAAUUGAAAUAAAGUUUAUACAUGCGUAUUCAUAUACG
rnacentral:lncRNA from 1 species